GAUGAAGAACGUAGCGAAAUGCGAUAAGUAGUGUGAAUUGCAGAAUUCAGUGAAUCAUCGAAUCUUUGAACGCACAUUGCGCCCUUUGGUAUUCCUUAGGGCAUGCCUGUUCGAGCGUCAUUUAAACCUUCAAGCUCAGCUUGGUGUUGGGUGACUGUCCGCUUCACCGCGGACUCGCCUCAAAAUUAUUGGCGGCCGGUACAUUGGCUCUCGAGCGCAGCAGAAACGCGUACUCGAGGUCCUCGUGCUGGCUCCCAGAAGCUAUCUUCACAAUUUUGACCUCGGAUCAGGUAGGGAUACCCGCUGAACUUAAGCAUAUCAAUAAGCGGAGGA
rnacentral:misc_RNA from 1 species